rnacentral:lncRNA from 13 species
UAGACAUACAUAUAAACACACACAUACACAUACACACAUACAGACACACACAUACACACAUAUACACACCCACACCCACAUCCACACACACACAUUGCUUUAUGUUGUUGAAAUGCACAGGAAGGAAGCAUGCCCCAGUGUUGACGGUGUGCUCCUGCUGUUGUGAAUAUAUGCUGGUUUUUCUCCUUCUGUUUCUCGUAAUGGUCUUAAUUUUCAAACUCUCUAUCAAUGAAUAUGCAUUAUUUUUACAGUCAGGAAAAAAAGGGUUUAAACUAUUUAUGUGGCUUCCUGCACAGGAACCCAGCAGGCCCCGCUCCCACACCUGCUGGUCUGGGGACCCUGUAGCACUUCAUGUCACUCAGGCACCGUGUCUCCUGCUGAUGUAUCCCAGAGUCGGGAGGAAAAGCGUUGGAGAAUCGUGUGUGGCGACACUGGCAAUGGGAUGGGACCCAGGGGCCCAAAGACACCUCCCUGGGAGUCAGAACAUGGAAGCUGGAGUCUCAGCUGUGCCACGGAGCGCCCUGGGACUUCAGAUGUCACUCGCCUCCGUUUCCUCAGAAAGGGUGAGAGAAGGAGGUGGCCUCUUACCUUCCUUCCUUUGCACACAAUGGCUUUCCUCCAUGAAGGCCACCAGGGCCAUGGAAAUGAGCAGCAGGCCCAGCUUCUGGUGGCACAGCCAACCCUUCCACGGGAGCCCCUUCCCAAGGGUAGUGCAGGGGACAGAGGCUGCAGCUCCAGCCUCCUAGGUUGAGCUUGGACAGGGCCUUGGGGGAUGUGCUGGCUGCCCUCCGCCCUCCCCCGGGAGCCGGCUGCCUCCUCCUCCAGCUUCAGCCCCUGGACCCCUUAAGAAGCAAGCGCCCCCUUAGAGCCUGUGCUGGAAUCCAAGACACUGGUCUUUAUUCAGGUCUCUGCCAGCCGCUGCUUGCCAAGGGGUGUGUCAGUCUCUUGUCAGCCACACGCACGGCUUCCAGCAGGACACCGGUAAGCUCCUGCUUAUGCAAUGAUUGUGUUUCCACAGCAGCUGCAGGCAGGGAAACGGGAAGGGUUAAACUGGCUUCCUGUCCUGGGACAUUUGGGGAUUUUUAUCACACGUCACUGUCUGUGACAGCCUCUGGGCCUUUGGAAUAUUCUGGCACAACUGCCGGCCCCUCAGGCUCAUCUUGGCUCAGCAGCCAGUUCCCGGGCGGGGCCGUGGCGCCCCGGACAGGUCAAAAGCAGAUUGGGACGUGACUGGCAGCGGGGAGAGGAGGCUUCUCACAGGGAAACGCAGUCUGUGCCGCCCUGAUCGUCUCGGGGCUGCCCAGGGCAGGUCCAAGGCGGUGGGUUUCUGGGUAUGUCACCUGCUCUCCCAGGCGUGUGGGCCCUGCCCUCGGGCCCAGAUUCCUCGCUGCGGGCUGGGACCCCGUCCUGCUGGGCCAUGAGCUCCCAGGAGCUGUUUUGCAGUGAGCCUGGCUGGGUCCUCCAGGGUCUCCUCUGGGAGCCGAGGGAAAACUCGUGGAGCUUCAGGAUUUUGAGAGUUGCAGGAAACAAGACCUGAACUUGAAAUAACUUUAAGCAAAAAUGGAAGUUUGAGAGUCCCUGGAGAAGCUGGGCUUGGGGCCUUCAGUGACCCAGCCCCCUGCUGCUAUCCACUCUGUUUCUCUCUGGGUGGGGCCUCUUUCUCUACUCGGACAGGUGGAACUCCUCCUGGGCCCGGCCUGGCCACACAGCAUCCCACAGCCUGCAUGGUGGCCCAGCCCGGAUCCC